AUCAGAGCUCACAGCGUGAGCGGGCGGCGAUCGCGAGCCGGGGGUGGAGGUGCAAAGGCUCCUCGGAAGAGGCUGGUCGCUCAGGGGUUAACGCCAACCUUUCCCUUGAGCGCGGCCUCUGUAGUAGCUAAUGAAGCCCAUCAUCCAAGGAGAACAGGCCAUGCAGUGGAAAAUUACAGUUUUCUAGUAAGACAAACCAACCACAGCUUUGGAGUUUUCGUUUUAGAGUAAGCACGCAUGUCACCCAAGAAGAGAAAUGCCAGCAGGAUCUAGAAGUCACCCAAUGCCACUGAAAAGACGUAAGGACCUGACAAAGCUGUAAGCUUCCAAAGGUCUCAAAAGACUGCAGUCACCUCUACAUAUCCUGGUAAUUGGAGCGCAUGGCAGGGCAUCAGCAGGCCAAGGUCAGCCAGAGGUCAUGGCCCCUCUGCUGAUGGGUUCCAUAAUGGUCCAGAUAAUGCAUACUUGGGGGAGAGAGCUGACACAACUACAUAAAGAGAUGGAGAAGAGGAUGCAAAGCUGGCUCACAGCAGAUUGGAAAACGUGGCCUUGGCUGACAUCAGAAUUCCUCUUAGGAAGAGAACAGUCUUUUUGAGGAAAAUAUCCUUGAUAAGGCACCUGUGGAGAAGGUGAGAUGCCAAGGGCAUGUGUCAGAAGGAAACAAAGAAAGUAGCUGAACUGAAAUGCAUUCAAAACAGAUUGGAAUCUGAGGGAGGCAGACAAGUAAGGAAGAAAGGGCAAGAGUAUAAGAGAGUCUUGGAAAAUGGUAAGAAACAGGAACUGAGUUGAAAAAGGAGCCAAGUGGUGAUGUGGGAAUGCUCCCAUCCUACCAAAGUGCCAGUAAUCUACACACCGCACACACGCACCACCCUGGCAUGAGUGGUUCGUCUGAAGAAGGAAAAGGAAGACGGCCUCAUUCCUUGGCUGCAUCAUACAUCCCAGACGACAGAGGGGUGUGGAGACAAUUUCCAAGAUGAAAUGAUUCAGCAGAAGCAGGAGCUUGCAGGACAAAGGGAACCACAGGGAUGCAUAAGCUCUUUGGAAAUCUGCAGAGGAAACUUGGACCUACAUUCGCCAGGCAACCUUGAGAAGCAUACCUCCUUUCUGACCCUCGGUCUCCUCACCUGAAAAUGGCAAUGACUAAGAGCCACUUCAAAUGAUAAAAUGAUUAAAUGAGAAAUAUCAAUAAAAUAUUUUUGAAAAUGCCCAUCCAGAAAUCCUACUCAGGCCAGUUAAAAUCAGAAUAAUGAAACACCAGGGCUCCUGCAGGCCUGCAGCCCCCGGGCCUUUCUCAGCUGGCUUCCCAGGACAUACAACCAAGGCAAUGUCAGCCUCCCAGCCACCCACCUCCAGGCGCCCCCAGGUACUUGCCCCGGAAUCGGGCAGCAGGAUCAGAGCCAAAGUCCAUACCAGACCCACAGCCGAAGGAGAAAAAGUGCCCAGCCUCCCCGGGGAGUGCCCGCCACAGGGAAGGGACGCUUUGCUUCCUGAAGAUGAUUUCUGACACGCUUUGACUCUAUAAAAGGCCCAUCAGCUGGUGCAUCUCCUUCUUCGGCCACUUGCCAGUCCUGGUUAUAAACCCACAGCUUCUCCCUUCAGAGUGCAAUAACUACAAUAUCCUAAUAAUGAACAAAACCAAUAUCAGUGACACUGCCUGGAAAUAAAUGUUACCACUUAGAUUCUAAUAAAAGAGAAGUUG